GACGAACGCUGGCGGCGUGCUUAACACAUGCAAGUCGAACGGAAAGGCCCUGCUUGCAGGGUACUCGAGUGGCGAACGGGUGAGUAACACGUGGGUGAUCUGCCCUGCACUUCGGGAUAAGCCUGGGAAACUGGGUCUAAUACCGGAUAGGAGCCAUUUUUAGUGUGAUGGUUGGAAAGUUUUUUCGGUGUAGGAUGAGCUCGCGGCCUAUCAGCUUGUUGGUGGGGUAAUGGCCUACCAAGGCGGCGACGGGUAGCCGGCCUGAGAGGGUGGACGGCCACAAUGGGACUGAGAUACGGCCCAGACGCCUACGGGAGGCAGCAGUGGGGAAUAUUGCACAAUGGGCGCAAGCCUGAUGCAGCGACGCCGCGGGGGGGAAGACGGCCUUCGGGUUGUAAACUCAUUUCGCUAGGGACGAAGCUUUUUGUGACGGUACCUAGAUAAGAAGCACCGGCUAACUACGUG
rnacentral:rRNA from 1 species